rnacentral:rRNA from 1 species
GAUGAACGCUGGCGGCGUGCUUAACACAUGCAAGUCGAACGAAGCACUUCAUAAAGCUUGCUUUAGGAAGUGACUUAGUGGCGGACGGGUGAGUAACGCGUGGGUAACCUGCCUUACACAGGGGGAUAACAGUUAGAAAUGACUGCUAAUACCGCAUAAAACAGCAGAGUCGCAUGACUCAACUGUCAAAGAUUUAUCGGUGUAAGAUGGACCCGCGUCUGAUUAGCUGGUUGGUGAGGUAACGGCCCACCAAGGCGACGAUCAGUAGCCGACCUGAGAGGGUGACCGGCCACAUUGGGACUGAGACACGGCCCAAACUCCUACGGGAGGCAGCAGUGGGGAAUAUUGCACAAUGGGGGAAACCCUGAUGCAGCGACGCCGCGUGAGCGAAGAAGUAUUCGGUAUGUAAAGCUCUAUCAGCAGGGAAGAAAAAAAUGACGGUACUGACUAAGAAGACCCCGGCUAACUACGUG